rnacentral:lncRNA from 1 species
GAACGCCUUGUGUCGCUAUUGUGAUCAGCAUAAGCGCGAUAUCUAAUUAUCAUUGCAAGCACACCACAGCAACGCGUACUGAACAUUGCAUACGCCAUCGUGUGGCUGAUAUGGAGAAUGGUCCAGAGAUUUGCGAACGUGGUUACGUGUAAUGGGACAGAAGAAGGACGAAAUUGAGGAUAAAUGCCAUUUGCGGCUGUGUGCUGCCCUGCUACACGACAAAAAAUAAAAGGUCAUACUUCUUUUGACCUGGGAAAAAAAGUAAAUUACGUGAUCAACUCACCAACAGUUCUCACGAACUCAAUACUCACCAACUCAUCAACAAAGCAC